UGCCCGGGUCUCCAGGGACUUAGUCAGUGUCU
rnacentral:piRNA from 1 species